GAAUUUUCCGCAAUGGGGGCAACCCUGAUCCAGCAAUGCCGCGUGAGUGAUGAAGGCCUUCGGGUUGUAAAGCUCUUUUGCCAGGGACGAUGAUGACGGUACCUGGAGAAUAAGCCCCGGCUAACUUCGUGCCAGCAGCCGCGGUAAUACGAAGGGGGCAAGCGUUGUUCGGAAUUACUGGGCGUAAAGGGCGCGUAGGCGGCCGAUCAAGUCAGGCGUGAAAUUCCCGGGCUCAACCUGGGGGCUGCGCUUGAUACUGAUUGGCUUGAAUGCGGGAGAGGAUAGUGGAAUUCCCAGUGUAGAGGUGAAAUUCGUAGAUAUUGGGAAGAACACCAGUGGCGAAGGCGGCUAUCUGGCCCGUUAUUGACGCUGAGGCGCGAAAGCGUGGGGAGCAAACAGG
rnacentral:rRNA from 1 species